rnacentral:lncRNA from 1 species
GUUCGGUUGCUCCUACGCGAAGGAAGCUACGACGAUGCCCGCGUUUCGUGUUGGUCGGUACGAAAACAGAACCGAUUUUAGAAUAUCCGCGGCCGCGAAACAUUUUUACCGAUAAAUUAUAAUUCGGAUUCCGCGUCGAUCGGCGCGAGUUUUCCGCACGAUCUCUCCGGUAUACGCAACUACCCUUCGAUAAAUCGUCCCCGAAUUUUUGUCCGGCGAUUAUUUUUAAAGAAAUGUAAAAAAUUGAGGUGAUUUUCGAGGGGUUGAAAGAGAACUAAAUAAGGAAGUUGUAAAGUGACGUGAAUUAUUUUUAUUUUCGUUAUUCUUUGGGCAGGACAAAUUUUUUCUCUCUUUCUCUCUCGUUCGUCGAAGUCAGGUGACUUCGAAGGUGUUUUUUUCGCUUAUUGAUACGACGUCGCGUAUCGUAAAUGCGAAUGACGGUGAAAAUUAGUUAGUGAGUCAUUUUUAAGCCGCAGUUUAUGUUACGCGGUAUAGAGAUAACCUGUCGUUGACACAAAUUACAUUAAUCAAAAAAAAAGA